rnacentral:rRNA from 1 species
AGCGAACGCUGGCGGCAUGCCUAACACAUGCAAGUCGAACGAACUCUUCGGAGUUAGUGGCGCACGGGUGCGUAACGCGUGGGAAUCUGCCCUUGGGUACGGAAUAACUCAGAGAAAUUUGUGCUAAUACCGUAUAAUGUCUUCGGACCAAAGAUUUAUCGCCCAAGGAUGAGCCCGCGUAAGAUUAGCUUGUUGGUGAG